UUCCAGACUCCUACGGGAGGCAGCAGUGAGGAAUAUUGGUCAAUGGCCGAGAGGCUGAACCAGCCAAGUCGCGUGAGGGAAGACGGCCCUACGGGUUGUAAACCUCUUUUGUCGGGGAGCAAAGAGAGUCACGUGUGACUCAUUGAGAGUACCCGAAGAAAAAGCAUCGGCUAACUCCGUGCCAGCAGCCGCGGUAAUACGGAGGAUGCGAGCGUUAUCCGGAUUUAUUGGGUUUAAAGGGUGCGUAGGCGGUUUGAUAAGUUAGAGGUGAAAUGUCGGGGCUCAACCCCGAAACUGCCUCUAAUACUGUUGGACUAGAGAAUAGUUGCGGUAGGCGGAAUGUAUGGUGUAGCGGUGAAAUGCUUAGAGAUCAUACAGAACACCGAUUGCGAAGGCAGCUUACCAAACUAUAUCUGACGUUGAGGCACGAAAGCGUGGGUAGCAAACAGGAUUAGAUACCCCGGUAAAC
rnacentral:rRNA from 1 species